rnacentral:rRNA from 1 species
GGGUUGUGAGGUUAAGCGACUAAGCGUACACGGUGGAUGCCCUGGCAGUCAGAGGCGAUGAAGGACGUGCUAAUCUGCGAAAAGCGUCGGUAAGGUGAUAUGAACCGUUACAGCCGGCGAUGUCCGAAUGGGGAAACCCAGUGCAAUUCGUUGCACUAUCGUUAACUGAAUACAUAGGUUAACGAGGCGAACCGGGGGAACUGAAACAUCUAAGUACCCCGAGGAAAAGAAAUCAACCGAGAUUCCCCCAGUAGCGGCGAGCGAACGG